rnacentral:rRNA from 1 species
AGAGUUUGAUCCUGGCUCAGAUUGAACGCUGGCGGUAUGCUUAACACAUGCAAGUCGAACGGAAACGAUACUAGCUUGCUAGUAGGCGUCGAGUGGCGGACGGGUGAGUAACGCGUAGGAAUCUGCCUGAUAGUGGGGGAUAGCCCGAAGAAAUUCGGAUUAAUACCGCAUAAUCUAUUCGUAGUAAAGUGGGGGACUUUUAAGCCUCACGCUAUCAGAUGAGCCUGCGUAAGAUUAGCUAGUUGGUAGGGUAAAAGCCUACCAAGGCAACGAUCUUUAGCUGGUCUGAGAGGAUGAUCAGCCACAUCGGGACUGAGACACGGCCCGAACUCCUACGGGAGGCAGCAGUGGGGAAUAUUGGACAAUGGGGGCAACCCUGAUCCAGCAAUACCGCGUGUGUGAAGAAGGCCUGAGGGUUGUAAAGCACUUUCAAUUGUGAAGAAAAGUUAACGGUUAAUAACCGUUAGCCUUGACGUUAACUUUAGAAGAAGCACCGGCUAACUCCGUGCCAGCAGCCGCGGUAAUACGGAGGGUGCAAGCGUUAAUCGGAAUUACUGGGCGUAAAGCGUGCGUAGGCGGUUUAUUAAGUCAGAUGUGAAAGCCCCGGGCUUAACCUGGGAACUGCAUUUGAAACUGGUCAACUAGAGUAUGGUAGAGGAAAGUGGAAUUUCUGGUGUAGCGGUGAAAUGCGUAGAUAUCAGAAGGAACAUCAAUGGCGAAGGCAGCUUUCUGGACCAAUACUGACGCUGAGGUACGAAAGCGUGGGUAGCAAACAGGAUUAGAUACCCUGGUAGUCCACGCCGUAAACGAUGAUAACUAGCCGUUGGGGGGAUUUACCCUUUAGUGGCGAAGCUAACGCGUUAAGUUAUCCGCCUGGGGAGUACGGCCGCAAGGUUAAAACUCAAAGGAAUUGACGGGGACCCGCACAAGCGGUGGAGCAUGUGGUUUAAUUCGAUGCAACGCGAAGAACCUUACCUGGUCUUGACAUCCUGCGAACUUUCUAGAAAUAGAUUGGUGCCUUCGGGAACGCAGUGACAGGUGCUGCAUGGCUGUCGUCAGCUCGUGUCGUGAGAUGUUGGGUUAAGUCCCGUAACGAGCGCAACCCCUAUCCUUAUUUGCCAGCACGUCAUGGUGGGAACUAUAAGGAGACUGCCGGUGAUAAACCGGAGGAAGGCGGGGACGACGUCAAGUCAUCAUGGCCCUUACGACCAGGGCUACACACGUGCUACAAUGGGAAGGACAAAGAGCCGCGAAGCCGCGAGGUGUAGCUAAUCUCAGAAACCUUUUCGUAGUCCGGAUUGGAGUCUGCAACUCGACUCCAUGAAGUCGGAAUCGCUAGUAAUCGUAGAUCAGAAUGCUACGGUGAAUACGUUCCCGGGUCUUGUACACACCGCCCGUCAUACCAUGGGAGUGGGUUGCACCAGAAGUGGCUAGUCUAACUUAGUGAGGACGGUCACCACGGUGUGAUUCAUGACUGGGGUAAAGUCGUAACAAGGUAACC